rnacentral:rRNA from 1 species
UAGGGAAUAUUCGGCAAUGGACGAAAGUCUGACCGAGCAACGCCGCGUGAGUGAAGAAGGCUUUCGGAUCGUAAAACUCUGUUGUUAGAGAAGAACAAGGACGUUAGUAACUGAACGUACCAUGACGGUAUCUAACCAGAAAGCCACGGCUAACUACGUGCCAGCAGCCGCGGUAAUACGUAGGUGGCAAGCGUUGUCCGGACUUAUUGGGCGUAAAGCGAGCGCAGGCGGUUUCUUAAGUCUGAUGUGAAAGCCCCCGGCUCAACCGGGGAGGGUCAUUGGAAACUGGGAGACUUGAGUGCAGAAGAGGAGGGUGGAAUUCCAUGUGUAGCGGUGAAAUGCGUAGAUAUAUGGAGGAACACCAGUGGCGAAGGCGGCUCUCUGGUCUGUAACUGACGCUGAGGCUCGAAAGCGUGGGGAGCAAACAGG